AACAGCAGCAUUACCACCUGGUGGCCUGAUGUCGUCGGGUCUCAGCCGGGCCGGGCCUGGUCAGGACUGGACUGGGAGACCUCGGAGGAAAGCCAGGUUGCUGCUGUCA
rfam:Lepisosteus oculatus linkage group LG22, whole genome shotgun sequence.